GUGGGGAAUAUUGGACAAUGGGCGAAAGCCUGAUCCAGCCAUGCCGCGUGUGUGAAGAAGGUCUUCGGAUUGUAAAGCACUUUAAGUUGGGAGGAAGGGCAUUAACCUAAUACGUUAGUGUUUUGACGUUACCGACAGAAUAAGCACCGGCUAACUUCGUGCCAGCAGCCGCGGUAAUACGAAGGGUGCAAGCGUUAAUCGGAAUUACUGGGCGUAAAGCGCGCGUAGGUGGUUUUGUAAAUUGGCGGUUAAAUCCCCGGGCUCAACCUGGGAACUGCCUCCAAAACUGCAUGACUAGAGUACGGUAGAGUGUAGUGGAAUUUCCUGUGUAGCGGUGAAAUGCGUAGAUAUAGGAAGGAACACCAGUGGCGAAGGCGACUACCUGGACUGAUACUGACACUGAGGUGCGAAAGCGUGGGGAGCAAACAGGAUUAGAUACCCCUGUAGUCC
rnacentral:rRNA from 1 species